AGAGUUUGAUCAUGGCUCAGAUUGAACGCUGGCGGCAGGCCUAACACAUGCAAGUCGAGCGGUAGCACAGAGAGCUUGCUCUCGGGUGACGAGCGGCGGACGGGUGAGUAAUGUCUGGGAAACUGCCUGAUGGAGGGGGAUAACUACUGGAAACGGUAGCUAAUACCGCAUAACGUCGCAAGACCAAAGUGGGGGACCUUCGGGCCUCAUGCCAUCAGAUGUGCCCAGAUGGGAUUAGCUAGUAGGUGGGGUAAUGGCUCACCUAGGCGACGAUCCCUAGCUGGUCUGAGAGGAUGACCAGCCACACUGGAACUGAGACACGGUCCAGACUCCUACGGGAGGCAGCAGUGGGGAAUAUUGCACAAUGGGCGCAAGCCUGAUGCAGCCAUGCCGCGUGUGUGAAGAAGGCCUUCGGGUUGUAAAGCACUUUCAGCGGGGAGGAAGGCGGUGAGGUUAAUAACCUCAUCGAUUGACGUUACCCGCAGAAGAAGCACCGGCUAACUCCGUGCCAGCAGCCGCGGUAAUACGGAGGGUGCAAGCGUUAAUCGGAAUUACUGGGCGUAAAGCGCACGCAGGCGGUCUGUCAAGUCGGAUGUGAAAUCCCCGGGCUCAACCUGGGAACUGCAUUCGAAACUGGCAGGCUAGAGUCUUGUAGAGGGGGUAGAAUUCCAGGUGUAGCGGUGAAAUGCGUAGAGAUCUGGAGGAAUACCGGUGGCGAAGGCGGCCCCCUGGACAAAGACUGACGCUCAGGUGCGAAAGCGUGGGGAGCAAACAGGAUUAGAUACCCUGGUAGUCCACGCCGUAAACGAUGUCGAUUUGGAGGUUGUGCCCUUGAGGCGUGGCUUCCGGAGCUAACGCGUUAAAUCGACCGCCUGGGGAGUACGGCCGCAAGGUUAAAACUCAAAUGAAUUGACGGGGGCCCGCACAAGCGGUGGAGCAUGUGGUUUAAUUCGAUGCAACGCGAAGAACCUUACCUGGUCUUGACAUCCACAGAACUUUCCAGAGAUGGAUUGGUGCCUUCGGGAACUGUGAGACAGGUGCUGCAUGGCUGUCGUCAGCUCGUGUUGUGAAAUGUUGGGUUAAGUCCCGCAACGAGCGCAACCCUUAUCCUUUGUUGCCAGCGGUCCGGCCGGGAACUCAAAGGAGACUGCCAGUGAUAAACUGGAGGAAGGUGGGGAUGACGUCAAGUCAUCAUGGCCCUUACGACCAGGGCUACACACGUGCUACAAUGGCAUAUACAAAGAGAAGCGACCUCGCGAGAGCAAGCGGACCUCAUAAAGUAUGUCGUAGUCCGGAUUGGAGUCUGCAACUCGACUCCAUGAAGUCGGAAUCGCUAGUAAUCGUAGAUCAGAAUGCUACGGUGAAUACGUUCCCGGGCCUUGUACACACCGCCCGUCACACCAUGGGAGUGGGUUGCAAAAGAAGUAGGUAGCUUAACCUUCGGGAGGGCGCUUACCACUUUGUGAUUCAUGACUGGGGUGAAGUCGUAACAAGGUAACCGUAGGGGAACCUGCGGUUGGAUCACCU
rnacentral:rRNA from 1 species